CCGUUCAGCCGCUCCCGGAGGGCGCGCGGCUCUGCCCGGCCGUGACCGGGGCCCGCAGGGGUCUCUCGCUCGCCCGCUCGCCCCGAAAGGAGCCGGCCCCGAGCCGGCGCGUCCCGCCCCGCCCGGCCCUCGGCGCCCUCGCGAGCUGAGCGCGGCCCGGCCAGCAGGGGGCGCUGGCGCUCACCGGCUGGGCGCGGGGGCGGUCCGGCGCGGGGGCGGGGCCGGUGGGGGCCGGUCCUUCCGGCCGCCCUCUAAGGGCCGCCCCGCGGGGCCCGGGCUUCCGGUGGCGCGUGCGCGGCGGAGCGGAGGUGGGAGAGGUGCGUGGGGCGGCCGGGUCGCGAGGGGUCUCUUUGCGGUGCCGGGGCCCCUCUCCGGCCCGGCGUGGGAAGCCCGUGGCCGGCGGAGACUGCUCGGAGCUGGGCGGGGAGCGCCGCGGCAGUCCGGCCGCAGGCAGCCAUCCCCUGCGGUGGCCGGCAUCCCCUCGGGACUCCUGGAGGCCUGGCGGCUCCCGAUCCUCGUCUGCGGCAGCCGCCUGAGAGAGCAGCGCGGCCGUAGCCGGGGGCCGGAGAGCGCUGGUGCAGAUGGAUGAGUCGUGCAGGGCAACGGAGGAGAGCCCAGGGGAGCGCUGUAAGAAGAGGCAAUGAACGGUGCUGCUGGGGCUGCGAGGGGGAAAGGUGCAGAGGAAUAGAAGCUCUGUGGAUGCAGCCAAGUUACGGUUUCUGGAUGGUAUUAAUCGAGAAGAGUAAUUCAGAUAAUGCUGCUGCCCAGCGACCAGAGUUGGGUACUGAGCCCGGGAGCUGCGCACGCGCGGUGGCGUCCCUGUGAUCCGCAUUGCU